GACGAACGCUGGCGGCGUGCUUAACACAUGCAAGUCGAACGGAAAGGCCCCUUUGGGGGUACUCGAGUGGCGAACGGGUGAGUAACACGUGAGUAACCUGCCCUUGACUUCGGGAUAACUUCAGGAAACUGGGGCGAAUACCGGCUAGGAAUCCUUGCUGCAUGGUGGGGGUUGGAAAGCUUCGGCGGUUUUGGAUGGACUCGCGGCUUAUCAGCUUGUUGGUGGGGUAGUGGCUUACCAAGGCUUUGACGGGUAGCCGGCCUGGGAGGGCGACCGGCCACAUUGGGACUGGGAUACGGCCCAGACUCCUACGGGAGGCAGCAGUGGGGAAUAUUGCACAAUGGGCGGGAGCCUGAUGCAGCAACGCCGCGUGCGGGAUGACGGCCUUCGGGUUGUAAACCGCUUUCAGCAGGGGCGAAGCUUGUGGUGACGGUACCUGCAGAAGAAGCACCGGCUAACUACGUG
rnacentral:rRNA from 1 species